AAAAGCCAAUCUGCAAAGAGUUACUCUGCAACAAGAAAAUACAAAACAAAAACCCCACAUGAUACAAAAAGGAGCUUACAACACGAGAUCCGAACACUUAAAACAAUGAUUCUGAAUUAUUGAAACUUCAAUCAAGCCCUAAUGUAAUACUUGACCUUACAAUGGAUGAGAAGAAACCCAGAUCAAAGCACUGCCAAGAAUUCAAGAAAGCUUAAUACCUUGCUUUCAGAAGACAGUACUGGAAGUGGAUGUGUGAAC